rnacentral:rRNA from 1 species
AUGGCUGCGACGACGAGGGUAUCUCGCGCUCUCCUGCUCGUCGGCGUCGUCCUCACGGCGCAGCUGUGCGCUUGCACGGCGUACGGCGGCGAUGGGUUUAGCGUGGAGUUCAUCCACCGCGACUCCGUUGGGUCGCCGUUCCACGACCCCUCGCUCACCGCGCACGGGCGCGUGGUCAAGGCGCUCGCGCGCUCCUACGCCCGCGCCGACGCACCGUCGGGUCACGGCGUCGUGUCCGAGCUCACCUCCACGCCGUUCGAGUACCUGAUGGCCGUGAACGUGGGCACGCCGCCCACCCGUCUGCUCGCCAUCGCCGACACCGGCAGCGACCUCGUCUGGCUCAACUGCAGCAAGAAGCACGGUCCUGGUCCGGCGUUUGCCGGUGACGCGCCCUCGCCCCCGCCGCGGCCGGGCGUCGUGUUCGACCCCUCCAAGUCCAAGACGUACCGCCUCGUGGGCUGCGACUCCGGCGCGUGCCGCGCUCUCCCGGACUCGUCCUGCGCCGGCGGCGACAAGUGCACCUACUACUACUACUAUGGCGACGGCUCGGCGACGAGCGGCCUCCUCUCCACCGAGACCUUCACCUUCGCCGACGCCCCCGGCGCCCGCUGCGGCGACCGCACGACGCGCGUGCCAAACGUCAACUUCGGCUGCGGCACGAACUUUGUCGGCUCCUUCAUCGGGGACGGCCUCGUCGGCCUCGGCAACAGCAACCUCUCCCUCGUCACGCAGCUCGGCGCACACGCCUCGCUCGGCCAGAGGUUCUCCUACUGCCUCGUGCCCUACUCCAUCAACGCCUCCUCCGCGCUCAACUUCGGCGCCCGCGCCGCCGUGACGGAGCCGGGUGCGGCCACGACGCCGCUGAUCCCGUCCAGGGUGAAGACCUACUACACCAUCGAGCUCGCGUCCGUCGAGGUCGGCAACGCGACCUACAAGGCGCCGCGCCAGACCCCCGCCAUCGUCGACUCCGGCACGACGCUGACGUUCCUCGACAAGGCGCUGCUAGACCCGCUGGUGAAGGAGCUGGCCGGGCGGAUCAAGCUCCCGAAGGCCCCGCCGCCGGCGGACCUCCAGCUGCCGCUCUGCUACAACGUGACCGGGCUAAAGGAGGGGCAGAUCGCGGCGAAGAUCCCUGACGUGAAGCUGGGGCUGGGCGGCGGUGCGGUGGUGACGCUGAAGGCGUUGAACACGUUCGUGGUGGUGCAGGCGGAGACCCUGUGCCUGGCGAUCGCGCCGGCGUCGGAGCGCCUUCGGACGUCGAUCAUCGGGAACAUCGCGCAGCAGAACAUGCACGUCGGGUACGACCUCGACAAGCGCACCGUCACCUUCGCGGCAGCCGACUGCGCGAGGUCGCACCACGGCCACGGCCAUGCCCACGCUCGCGCGCCCGCCCCCGCCCCGGUACAUGCCCACUCCCGCGCCCCCGCCCCCGCCCCCGCACCCGCACAUGAGCGGCUCCGUGUAGGCGUGUAG